ncrna:unclassified sequences Clostridiales-3 RNA
UAGUAGUUCGAAGGAUUGAAAAAAUGAAGAACGAGAAGCAGGGCACAAGCACGGUAAAAGGAUUACAGAUAUUGCGAAUGGAUAAUAAACCAUGAAGGUUGAGAGGUUCAACCUUAUCCUCGAAAUGGCAAUAGAGGAGAUAGUGUUACUUGCAAAAUAGUAAGGCGUCAUGAACGCAUUAGGCGGCUCAUUUGUAACUCCCGGGAUGAGAACAUUCCUUAGUGUACGGGGCAAUAGGGACUUGAAACAGUCAACGUACACCUUACA